GGCAGAACUAGAUAACACAUGUAAUUAGCUAUUGCCGUUAUCCACUAAUUUGCUAACAUUUUUGGAUUAUUGGCCGGUGCACCAGAGAUCAAAUUCUAUCGAAUUCCGGCAAACAAAUUAUUCACCAUUUUCUAGAUGCUAAAGAAUAACAAAACCAAGUUUAUAAGAAAAUUUGUAGAUUCUACCAUUAUUCAGUAAAAGGAAAAGAAAAACUAACCCUUUUCUUGUAAGCAUCAUUUACAGGAGACAUAUAGCCUCCUAUAACACAAAACCCAUUUGAAUUCAACGUAUCUCGAGCCAGUUCUAACCAUUAACAUUAAAAAAAAGAAUCAAAACCCAUAGAAAAUGAAAA